GGCUAACGUCAUUAGAAGGGGCGGGGCUCCAGCUGGCUCCCGAGAUGACGCUAACGUCUCUGCGUGUUUCCUUCUUUCUACGGCUCCUCCUUCCUGAACUUGGUGUUUGUGACUGAUGCUGAUCGUUUCCAUGUGAAGCUGGUGCGGACCGUUUGACCAAGUCUAAUCUCAACACAGAAGUUCAUACUUCCCUAAUUCUAGUUCUUAUAAGUUCGCUCGGGAAUGCAGACUUCCGAGGACACAACGCGGUAGCUCAGCAGUAAAGGGAGUAAAGGGAGUGUACAGGAUGACGUCAAAGGUGAAGGUAGAAAGUGUGUGUGAGCUGAUGUGAAUUGAGCAGCAUGGAUCAGUGUGAGGACAGAG